UUAAAUGAAGCUUAAAGCAUUUAACUGUUAAUUAAAUACUACGAUUUUUAAAAUCGCAUUUAAA
rnacentral:tRNA from 1 species